AGAGUUUGAUCAUGGCUCAGAUUGAACGCUGGCGGCAGGCUUAACACAUGCAAGUCGAGCGGAGAUGAGGUGCUUGCACCUUAUCUUAGCGGCGGACGGGUGAGUAAUGCUUAGGAAUCUGCCUAUUAGUGGGGGACAACAUUCCGAAAGGAAUGCUAAUACCGCAUACGUCCUACGGGAGAAAGCAGGGGAUCUUCGGACCUUGCGCUAAUAGAUGAGCCUAAGUCGGAUUAGCUAGUUGGUGGGGUAAAGGCCUACCAAGGCGACGAUCUGUAGCGGGUCUGAGAGGAUGAUCCGCCACACUGGGACUGAGACACGGCCCAGACUCCUACGGGAGGCAGCAGUGGGGAAUAUUGGACAAUGGGGGGAACCCUGAUCCAGCCAUGCCGCGUGUGUGAAGAAGGCCUUAUGGUUGUAAAGCACUUUAAGCGAGGAGGAGGCUACUGAGACUAAUACUCUUGGAUAGUGGACGUUACUCGCAGAAUAAGCACCGGCUAACUCUGUGCCAGCAGCCGCGGUAAUACAGAGGGUGCGAGCGUUAAUCGGAUUUACUGGGCGUAAAGCGUGCGUAGGCGGCUUUUUAAGUCGGAUGUGAAAUCCCCGAGCUUAACUUGGGAAUUGCAUUCGAUACUGGGAAGCUAGAGUAUGGGAGAGGAUGGUAGAAUUCCAGGUGUAGCGGUGAAAUGCGUAGAGAUCUGGAGGAAUACCGAUGGCGAAAGCAGCCAUCUGGCCUAAUACUGACGCUGAGGUACGAAAGCAUGGGGAGCAAACAGGAUUAGAUACCCUGGUAGUCCAUGCCGUAAACGAUGUCUACUAGCCGUUGGGGCCUUUGAGGCUUUAGUGCGCAGCUAACGCGAUAAGUAGACCGCCUGGGAGUACGGUCGCAGACUAAACUCAAUGAAUUGACGG
rnacentral:rRNA from 1 species